ensembl:lncRNA
CUCACCGUGGGCGGGUGCCAGGUGAUGGGGGGAUCCUUGGCCAGGACCACGUCUGUUUAAAUAAUGAUCCUCUCAGACGGCCCCCGGCUCUGGGCCCAGGGGCCGGGGGCCGUCUGACAGAGCGACGCUCCCCAUGUUGAGCCCCUGUCCUGGGUGUGCCAGGUCCCCAAGAGGUGGACCGAGUCCAGGGCUGGGUCCAGGACCCACGAGGUGGACCGGGUACAGGACCAGGUCUAGUACCCUACGAGGCGGACCGGGUCCAGGUCCGGGUCCAGGAGCCACGAGUUGGACCGGGUCCAGGACCAGGGAUAGUACCCUAAGAGGUGGACCGGGUCCAGGUCCGGGUCCAGGACCAGGUUUAGUACACCACGAGGUGGACCGGGUCCAGGUCCGGGUCCAGGUCCAGGUCUAGUACCCUACGAGGUGGACCGGUUCCAGGUCCGGGUCCAGGUCCGGGUCUAGUACACCACGAGGUGGACCGGGUCCAGGCCUCCGCGAGAUGGACCGGGUCCAGGUGUCUCAGUGAAUGUGAGGCAGUGUUGUAAAGCUUUGAGCGGCCACUAGGACCCCCCUGGUGUUCACAGCCAGCACCCACGGCCCUACAGAGGAGGGCAGAGAGCUGAUCAUAGAAACGACCAACAGACCAACACCGCGCCAAGGAGGAGGAGCCAUGCGUUGAGUUAUGAGACAGCAGGAGGGAGGGGGGGGGGGUGGGGGCAGGGGGAGAAAGGUGUGUUUAAGCACGAUGUAGCGUAGCUUGACUGCUCAUUUAUUCUGUUUAUAAUCGCAGAGCAGAUGAUAAAUGUCCUGCGGAGUCGACAGUACUUAAAUAUUCAUCAGUCAGAGACUUGUUCACAUAGGAGGAGGAGCAGACUCUAGCCUCGUGAGGAGGAGGCUGAGGUCCUGACGGGAGGACGGCCUUCAAGCAGCACUCUUAUUGUGAAAUCUGAUCCCCAGAAUCGUGUUUUAAAAUGGCUCAGUCAGAGCAUUCCUGUUUAUUGAUCGUCAUAUUGAUAGUAAUAUUGAUAGUAAUAUUGACCGUCAUAUAGAUAGUAAUAUUGAUUGAAUAUUGAUAAUAGUCGUAGCAGCUUUCUGAUAUUGAGCUAACGGUUUUAUAUCCACAAUUUAUUCUUCAUUACCUCUCCCUCCCUCAUCCUGUCUUUUCGCACGUAUUGUGUCUGUGCUUAUGGUUCUUCCAGGGGGUGUGUGUGAGUGGUGUGUGUGUGUGUGUGUGUGUGUGUGUGUGUGUGUGUGUGUGUGUUGGUGUGU